CUGCUGAUCUGAUAGCCGAUUGGGAGUCUGGGACCCCUCCCUGCCGCGCGGCCCAAGCUGAUGCAGCGACGGCCGCGGGGGCCUUGCGUUCCUGGAGGCUGGGAAGGGAUCCCCGCGGGCUCCGUGCGUUGACGCCGUAAGUACCCUCCCCACUAUGUUGCCUCCACAUGCCGUUGGCUCCGCCCGUCGCAGGCAAUCGCACGCCAUCCAGGGGCUCCCCAUCCUCCACCAGUGCCUCGCUUCUCCGACGGUCCGACCUGACUAGCUGCGGGCAUGCACGUCUCUCUCCCCUAUGCCGUGUGGCCACAUCACCAUGACAAGCAAAAUCAAGAUCGAUUUCUUUCUCCAAUUGAAAAGGUUUAGAUUAUACAUGCGGCUUAACAUAGCAAAUGGAUCAGGUGAGGAUUUUCCUAGGGAUUCAUUUGACUUCAGGAAAAUUGAUGUGUGUUUUCAGGUAUCUUUUUAUUUUCAGUACUAUACCGAGUAUGGGUUAAGCUUCUGCUACUUUUUCUGAAUUCUAGAGACAAUUUUAUGUUGUUACAAACUUAUACAACUCUUUUUUUUUUCUUUUGAACUUCAUGCUGAUUCUUAAAUAUAGCUUGGCAUUCCUUUCCUUACAUACCUGUUGGUGCAUGAUAGAUGUAAAAUUACUUAGUAAGGUUACUUUUUCACAAUCACAUGAAUGUCUAAGAUUCUGUCGAAAUUUUACUUAAAUCAUGAAGUUUUGGAGUUGAUUGAAAAUGAACCUUGACAAGGAAAUAGAGAUUUAUCAUGGCCAGGAACCCCUUCAUGGAGCUGAUUAUUUUGUAUGCGGUUAGCUUCAUCAUUAAAUUAAUUCUUUACUUGGUCCUUUUCAGAGGCUGCAGCAAUGUGGAAAGAGUGCCUGAAGCAGUGAUUUCAUCUGGUAUCCAUGUUGUGGUUUCCCCUUGUGAUUGAUUGUUGUCCGUAUAUCAUCUCUCAUCUAAAAAUUCACUAGAAACAUGGUUGCCAACUAAACAGGGAAUCUGAACAGGGUAUUGCAUUCAGCUAUUUCUCCUGGUGGAUUGGUGACCUUGGUGACAUGUUUCCUCUUCUCUAUGGUUUGUGUUACUAUUGUUCAGCAUUAUUUUUAUUUGGACCUAGAACAAGAUUGAGAGGAAAAACAAUAUACAUCCACCUCUGCUAAGGGUGUUGAUGAUUUUUGUUUCUUUCUUUUAGUUGAUGUCACGUGAUCGUGAUAGAGACAAGGCUGGAUUCAUCUUGGAUUGUACUGUCUAGCAGAUGAUGGAGUUAAGAUAGAUGUUAAACAAGAUAACUCUUGCAAAUUCUGCUUCAGCAGUGGUGGAAUGGAUCAAAGAAAACAGUCAGUAGUGUUCAAUGCUCUCAGUCACUAUUGCAUGAAAAAUUGGGCUUAUGUUUAUUUUCAUUGAUGCCUAAUUUUCAUGUUCACAGUUUGAAAUAUUAUCUUAUGAAAUUUUGGGGCAUGUAUUUUAUCUGAUAAGCUGUAGUUUCAAAUUGUUUUUUGGGUCAUUUAACAUAUAAAGCUAAUUAAGUUAUAUAGGUUCCGCUUCGUAAUUUUAUUUGGUUUAUCGCCAAGUUAAUCACUAGCUGAAUUAUGUCAGAUUAAGAACUGUUAGAACAAUUGUUAUUUGUGCUGAAAAGUUAAUCAACUGCUCCCAAACAUAUUCGCAUAGGUGUCUGUUGCGGAGCACAGACGAUGGAAAGAUAGUGGCCAUGGUGCAGAUCCGGGAUGCUUGUUGAAUAGUUGGAUGCGGGAGCUUGCGGUGGAUCCCAUGGCUUCGCCAAUGGUGUGUCUGUUGUACUUUCUUUUUGGACAAAGGUCAUGCUUCCCUCCAUGACUGAGCUCCCUCCAUGUUGGACAAAGAACAUCCUUGAUAGUUUUUAAACAUUGUUUCAGUUAAUUCCUGUACGACCUCAAGGUGUUGGCAUAUUGUCAUUUUGUUACACACCUUGCUUGGACCUGUGACCCGCAUUAUUUUCUCUAUAAAUAGUUUAGAUGGUUCAAUGGUUCGAGACGUAUAGUAGUUUUGAAUGUCUUGGAAUAUAUUAUACAUGAAUGACUCUUUAA